rnacentral:rRNA from 1 species
UGCCAGCAGCCGCGGUAAUACGAAGGGUGCUAGCGUUGUUCGGAAUUACUGGGCGUAAAGAGCAUGUAGGCGGAUGAAUUAGUCAGAGGUGAAAGCCCCGAGCUCAACUUGGGAACUGCCUUUGAUACUGUUUAUCUAGAGUCCGAGAGAGGUUAGUGGAAUUCCCAGUGUAGAGGUGAAAUCCGUAGAUAUUCGGAGGAACACCAGUGGCGAAGGCGGCUUUCUGGACCAAUACUGACGCUGAGAUGCGAAAGCGCGGGGAGCGAACAGGAUUAGAUA